rnacentral:rRNA from 1 species
CUCGACCUGAUAUCAGGCAAGAUUACC